GACGAACGCUGGCGGCGUGCUUAACACAUGCAAGUCGAACGAAGAGCGAUGGAAGCUUGCUUCUAUCAAUCUUAGUGGCGCACGGGUGAGUAACGCGUAAUCAACCUGCCCUUCAGAGGGGGACAACAGUUGGAAACGACUGCUAAUACCGCAUACGAGCUGACCUCGGCAUCGAGGAUAGAUGAAAGGUGGCCUCUACAUGUAAGCUUUCACUGAAGGAGGGGAUUGCGGCUGAUUAGCUAGUUGGAGGGGUAACGGCCCACCAAGGCGAUGAUCAGUAGCAGGUCGGAGAGGAUGAACGGCCACAUUGAGACUGAGACACGGCCCAGACGCCUACGGGAGGCAGCAGUGGGGAAUCUUCCGCAAUGGACGAAAGUCUGACGGAGCAACGCCGCGGGAGUGAUGACGGCCUUCGGGUUGUGAAGCUCUGUUAAUCGUGACGAAAGGCCUUUUUGCGAAUAGUGAGAAGGAUUGACGGUACCGGAAUAGAAAGCCACGGCUAACUACGUG
rnacentral:rRNA from 1 species